rnacentral:lncRNA from 1 species
GCAUUAGUAACUCCAGCAGAAAUAGCGUAAAUAAUUAUCUAAACAUAAGAAACAUAAAUAAAGUAGCAUGCAAUAAUAUAAUACAGUAACUACCAUAAGUGAGACACAAGCCAAAACACAAAUCAUCUAUGGAUUACCUUGCCAACACCAAACUCUAGGAGCCCCUAUCCUACAAUUCUGAUACUAGACCUCCAGACUUUCCUAUCAAGGGUCAUGUCCUCGGAAACCUGCAUUCUAGCCAUGUCGUGCCUAAUCACCUCUCCCCAAUACCUCUUAGGCCUCCCUCUGCCUCGUCGUACGCCGACCAUCGCCAGCCGCUNN